rnacentral:rRNA from 1 species
UACGGAGGAUGCGAGCGUUAUCCGGAUUUAUUGGGUUUAAAGGGUGCGCAGGCGGGAGAUUAAGUCGGCGGUGAAAUUUUGCAGCUCAACUGUAAAAGUGCCUUCGAAACUGGUUUCCUUGAGUGUAGAUGAAGUAGGCGGAAUUUGUGGUGUAGCGGUGAAAUGCAUAGAUAUCACGAGGAACUCCGAUUGCGCAGGCAGCUUACUAAACUACUACUGACGCUCAGGCACGAAGGCGUGGGGAUCAAACAGGAUUAGAUACCCCCGUA